AAGUGAGUAGUUUGAGGCCCAGGGAGAGGUGGAGCCUUUUAUGAAGCCCAGAAGCAAUGAACAUAAAAUAAAAUGGGGACACUGAUACAUGGGAGGGCAGGUUUGUGGUCUUCACAGCCUUCCAUCUCUGUGAACAGUUUUAGGUGCAAACACUUUUUUCUGCUUCUGACAAUGAAGGCUGAUUGUGCCCCUAACUGAAUACCACUAAUAUUGUUGAAAAUUUUCUAAACCAUGCUAAGGGCACUCCACAAAAAUUCAUGCUAGUUGUUGUAAUGCUAAAUUUCCACCCUAAGUCAAGAGGAAGAAAGAUAUUAACAGAAGCUGAA
rnacentral:lncRNA from 1 species